rnacentral:rRNA from 1 species
UUGUAUUUGUAGAGGGCGUUUCGGGCGCGAUGCCGGUCUAAGUUCCUUGGAACAGGACGUCGUAGAGGGUGAGAAUCCCGUAUGCGACCGGCGAUCAAGCCUGUGUGAAACCCCUUCGACGAGUCGAGUUGUUUGGGAAUGCAGCUCAAAAUGGGUGGUAAAUUUCAUCUAAAGCUAAAUAUUGGCCAGAGACCGAUAGCGGACAAGUAGAGUGAUCGAAAGAUGAAAAGCACUUUGGAAAGAGAGUCAAACAGUACGUGAAAUUGUUGAAAGGGAAGCGCUUGCAAUCAGACCGGUCCGGAGGUGAUCAGCCGCUGCUCGUCAGCGGUGCACUCGCCUGCGAUCCGGCCAGCAUCGGUUCGGGCGGUGGGAUAAAAGUCCCGGGAAUGUAGCUUCUUUCGGGGAGUCUUAUAGCCCGGCUCGCAAUGCCGCCCGCCCGGACCGAGGACCGCGCUUCGGCUAGGAUGCUGGCGUAAUGGUUGCAAGCG